rnacentral:rRNA from 1 species
UUGGCUCGUUCUACAUGGUCAGUCAUCCAAAUAGCUUCUGGCUUGUACCCUCCUUGUAGUGUUGCUAAUAUAUUUGGCAACUGGUUACAUGGGAUUGAUCACAGGUUCAGAAUUCUACUUAGGGUGGGAGGGCUUGCUGUGAUUUGGUCGCUUUGGCUAUGUAGAAAUGAUAAGAAUUUUAACGAUAAAAGUACUUCGCUUAUGCAGGUUAUCUACAGAUGUACUGGGACGCUUCGUUUAUGGUCUUCUCUACAACGAGUGGAGAAUCGAGACCUGUUUACGGUGGUGUGUACAUGA